rnacentral:rRNA from 1 species
CCUACGGGAGGCAGCAGUGAGGAAUAUUGGUCAAUGGGCGCUAGCCUGAACCAGCCAAGUCGCGUGAAGGAUGACUGCCCUAUGGGUUGUAAACUUCUUUUAUAUGGGAGUAAAGUGCAGUAUGUAUACUGCUUUGAAUGUACCUUAUGAAUAAGGAUCGGCUAACUCCGUGCCAGCAGCCGCGGUAAUACGGAGGAUCCGAGCGUUAUCCGGAUUUAUUGGGUUUAAAGGGAGCGUAGGCGGGUUGUUAAGUUAGUUGUGAAAUUUUGCGGCUCAACCAUAAAACUGCAUUUGAUACUGGUAAUCUAGAGUACAGGAGAGGUAGGCGGAAUUCGUGGGGUAGCGGUGAAAUGCUUAGAUAUCACGAAGAACACUGAUUGCGAAGGCAGCCUGCUAGACUAUAACUGACGCUGAUGCACGAAAGUGUGGGUAGCAAACAGGAUUAGAUACCCGAGUAGUC